AAUACCUUAUUACAAUGUGAGCUGAAUAUUUUAUCUUGUAUAAUUUAUUAUUUGCUUUUGAAUAUAAUUAAAUACCAUUUUCAUGUUUAGUGCCAAUUGUGUAAAAAAAAGUUUCUUCGGUUUUCUUUGAAGUUUGGGAUUUUGCCGACAAGAUAUUACCUAAACUGUCAAGGUGUCUUCUAACCAUCUACAAUGGUUCUGACAGAUCUUCCAUUUCAAAAGAGCUCGGUGAUUCACAGUCGAUACAGUCUGAUUCGACGCCCGGAUAGCGCACCACCCGGUCAAGCUGAUGUGAACAUGGAUGAUGCUGCUAGAGAGUGUAAACAAUAUGCAGCCUUUUUAAAAGAGCAGGAAAGAAGAGUGGGGCCUGACGGUUACGUUGACUCAAAGAAAUUCAGUCAUACAUUUAAUGUUCGGAAGUCACGCUCAAAACCAAGACGCCUUAGCAAUAAUGGAUCUUUGACCAAUGUUGUUCAGUUGUCGAGUAAAGUUGAAAAGGACAAGGGUGAAUAUGAGAAAAGGAUUAAAGUUAUUGAGGAUCACAUGUGGCAGCACAAGCAGGAAGAACGGGAACUGAAGAGAGUGGAAGGCGACAUCAUCAAGAAUCAGAGGGCUGUCCGCCACACUCUCAGAGAUUACGAAAAUGCAAUUACCAAAAAGAAGUUAGCAGAAGACAAAAAGUUUAACCAUUCUAUGGACAAAUUUACAAAGCUCUCUCAAGAACAUAUUCACAAGAAAGAAGAUCUUACAAAACAAAGAAUUGAAGUUAAGCUGCUUAAAGAACAAGAAGAAAAGUCCUCCAGUAGAAAGGUUUUAGUGCGCAGAAAUGACCUGUGUCACCAGUUUGAGACGAAAGCCGAGGCAAUAGAACUGAAACAGCUUGAAGUGAUGCGACUCAGUCAGGAAUUUGAAAACCAGAUGAGAUUAAAAGAGGAAGAAAAGUUUCAACUGAUGAAGGAGCUCGGAGAUCUAGCAAUAGCACUGAACAUGGAAGCUCAGAAAGGCAGAGUACAAUCAGUUGAAAUAGAGAAAGAGAAAUCGAAGGAAAACACUCAGCGAAUCAAGGAAGAUUUAACACAUGAUAAAUUAUUGAAUGAAAAACUGGCUCGAAGUGACGUUGAAUCCAAGACAGCUUUGCAGAACAAGAGACGAUUAAGUGUUGACCUGUCGGUGACCAAAUCUCACUUAGAUAUCAAGAAACGCGAUGAACAGCGUCAUUUAACUGAUACUCAGAUUCGACUGGAAGACAACACGACAACACAGAGGAGUUUGAACAAUGCUGCGUUGUGUGCUGGGAUGGAUUUGAAGGCAAAACGGAUCGACCAAAGACUCGAGGCACACAAUGCACGGCGGGUGAAUCAGCUGCACAACCACAUGAAGCUGAAGAAAGACCGGGAGCAAUCCCAGCAGGCCGUGUGGGAGGAACGCUUCAAGAAACGCUACCAGGAGCAGCAGAUACGUGAACAUGAAGACUCCAUCAAGUUCUUCUCAAAAAUGGUCAACAAGGGCGAUGAUCUGGAACAGAGUCUGUACAACAAGGUGCGCAAUGCUGAGUACGCGCGACAGCAACAGGAGCAGUCCGUGCGGCGCAUGCAGCAGACGCUGGCAGAGAUCAAGAGAAUCAACAACCUGAAACUCACCCAAGAAAUAGUCGACAGACAGAGACAAGAAAAAGAGCUGGAGCAGCGACUGCUUAAAGAAAAAGCCGAACUUGAUAAGGUCCAUGCCCAGCGUGAGGAGAGCUACAUUCGACUCCAGAACCACCGGCGCCAACUCCAGGAAGAUCAGUACCUGUUGGAAGAACAUCAACGUGAACAUGAACGUCUGCAUCGCAUCGGCGUCAAGUCAGAUACCAGCACUGCGGAAAUCACCUACUGAAACAUCGGCAGGCUUUUUCUGUCUGGUCCACUGAACUGAUUCUUUUGUACAGAGGUGGAAGCAGGAUUUGUCUUAGGAGGAAGUUUAACUUUUUUUUAAAGGGCACACAGGUUAUUCCAAAUUACUCAAACUUAUUAUAUACUAUAUUGUGUAGGUCAUAUUCUCCUGAAAUAUAUUGAUCAAUAUCUAUGGUUUAAAGUGUCGUUCACAAAAUCAGCUGAUGUGAAGUGAAGUUGAAGAUGGUGUAUCUGUUACAGAUAACAUUCACCAGAAAGCUAAUUCAACAAGUAAUAUUUUAAUAGAUCUUUUCUUAUGAGGGCUUUUCUAGAAUUGAUCACAAGGGGAAUUUGGGGAGAGUAAUGUUUUAAUAUACACACCACCUACAAAAUAAUUUUUUUAAUUAACCCUGGCCUAGUGGACACUCAUAACCAAUAAAAUAAAAGUCAUAAUUUCUCACUAAUAAAUUGUCAUGUAACAUACACUAUUAUUGUAUAGUUUGGCAAACUAAUGACCUUGUUGGUACUAAAUAUGAAACACAAAUGACUUUUCAUUUAUGCCUCUGUUUUCAUUGUUAAAUUAUGUAAUAAAUUGUGUAAUAAAAUGUUAUAAUACAAUUCAUUACAGAUUUUUAAACAAUAAAUAGAAAUUUGGUUUUUGAUAAUUAUUUUUGAACCUGAUUAAAAUGCAAAAUUAUACCAAUUAUUGUGUGUAAAGUGGUUUACAUGAUUUCUAAGUGCAUGUAUGGAUAAUAAAAAAUAAAUUUAAAUGCUUUUGGAGAACAAAAAGAGUUGAGGUAAUAAAUAGAAUAACAAACUCACUAACAAGUAUCAAAUUUAUGUGUCAUGAAAUAAUUUUAAUUUGUCACUCACUAAAUUUUGUAACAGGUGGAAAAUAUUUCACUCAGGACAUAAAUAUGAUAAUAAUUGGAAACUCAUAUAUUAUCCUCUAUAUGUAAACCAUAUAUACAAUGGGCAAGAUACAUGGCAAACCCACAAGUCAUAUACAAUAAUUAUAGUGCCUCUAACGCCUGUCCCCUCCUAUCCAUGUGAUCAUGUUUGGACAGCCCUUAAAUUGAGUUUUUAAGACAAGUGAAUUUAGUUUCACUUUUUUCAUACAAGCUUCGCCAGAUUGUGACAGAAUGAUUUUUUUAGUUUAAAGCCUAAACCUGUCUGUAAGUGGAAGUACAUUCAUUUAAUACUUCGGUUAACAGUUUUCAGUUGUUGGAUAAGGUGCUUCUAUUGUAUAAAGUGAAUAGAACAUUGAUCUCUGGAUAACUCGUGAAGUAAAAUAAUGUUAAAUAUUCAAGCUUAUUAUAACAAGAAAAUAAUCUGAUAACUGAAUAUUUUAUUUUAUAAUUAAUGAUAAUGAUGGUUUCCAGUUGAUUUAUUUUCUAAAAGAAAAGAUUUAUAUAUAAUUGUUAAUUACAUUUUUAAAAAUUUCUUAUGCACUCAAUUUUUUAAAAGUUCAAAAUGUUCAAGAUGCACAUGAUAGAUACUCUUUUAUAAAAGUAUUUUUGUACAUUAAUCUUAUGCAUCUAAAACAACAAUGAUUUUAUAUUUUUUAUUGUUGCUACGAGCAACACCAGAAGGCUGUGAAUAAUAAUUUUGUGAUAUAUGCAUGAUAAUGCAUCAAAAUCUUUAUUCAAGAAAUAUUUAAUAUUUAUUAGUUGUUUUAAGAAGGCCAAAAGAAUAAAUGUUAUCUCAGAUUGUUGUGUGAAAUAAAAAUAUUUUCUGAUUAAUUCAGAUAUAUAAGUGCUACAGUUUAUAUACACACUGAAAGCAAGAUCUUUUAUAAACAUUAUUGACUAUUAGCAUUUGCAUUUAACAUGUUUGGGAAAUGGCACAAUGUUUUCAAUGGUAUAAUGAGACCUACUAACUCAGUAUCAUCCGCUUACUGCCAAACAGUUAAACAUGUUGUGAGGAUCAUCUUAACAAUUUGAUUGUUUUUUUCAGACUACAAAUGUUUUUAUUAGUAUAGUAUGAAAUGUGUUUCCCACUUGCCUAAACUCAACAUUUCCCUACCUUGCCCUAAAAUUGAACUGUUUAUGUAGUUGAUUAUUAUUUAAAUACUAUAUGUAUUUAUGUUUUUGGAAAUGAUGGAAUAUUUUCAGUAGAUUUGGAUUGUUUCUGAAUUCUUAAAAGUUAUAUCACAUUCAAAUUAGCACGUGAGAUUGUUUUACAAGUUUCUGUUAUCCAUGACUGGUGUUUUCAAAAUUUCAGUAUUAAUGAGGUUAAAUGUUCACAUAAUUUUUUUCAUUUUACACUAAUAUCAUUUAUACAUCAAUAUGUGUUUAUAUAUUAAUCUGUUCAUACGUUAUCAUGUGUAAAUAUCAUAUUUUCAUCUAUAAGAUUAUGUGGUAACAUGUUUUUCAAACAUCCUAGUUUGGUUUGAAAUCAAUUAAUCAGCCUCAACUUAUUUACCUUUGUGUCAGUCAGUAUCCUGUCUACUCCAGCAUAUCAUGUCUAAUAACAUGUUUGUACAUUGUCAGUAUGCAUCUAGUUUGUCAUCUCAGGCCAGGCUGACUACAGUAAGGAUUUGUAGAUUUGGUUAUAAAUAACACAUCAGUGUACAUCUAGUAUUCUGUCCUAGACAGGAAAUCUGGCACAAACCAGAACUUGUGUCCAGGAUGGACGUGCCUGAACCUUCAGUGGAUAUGGGCACGUUAAUAGAGUUUUCCUUCCUUUUCCUCCUUACAUCUAGUUUGUCAUCUCAGGCCAGGCUGACUACAGUAAGGAUUUGUAGAUUUGGUUAUAAAUAACAUGUUACAUCUAGUAUUACAAACCAGAACUUGUGUCCAGGAUGGACGUGCCUGAACCUUCAGUGGAUAUGGGCACGUUAAUAGAGUUUUCCUUCCUUUUCCUCCUUACAUCUGGUUUGUCAUUUCGUGUUGUCCACAGUGAGGUAAAUUCUGCUUCUGUUGCCUUGAAUGGGCUCAUGUACAAGUUCAUCCAUUGAAGCAGAAUAUGCUCAUUUUUCGAAAACAGCUGGCAUCAAACCUGUAUUGUCUGUGAUUUAUAAGUACAUACUGGACUGGAAUGGUUUUGUCUGAAUUCAGUAAAGAAUAUUUUGCAAUAACAAGGUUCCUGAAUAACAGGGUUCAGUGGUAUUACAUGUACUAAAAAUGUGGUUCUUUCAAAUUCAAAAAUAGUUAUCAUGGUCAAUAUAGGAAGAUAAGUUUUUGAUUUGGGACUGUUGAAUAGAAUUGUAUGAAAAAAAUAUUAAAAAAUGUUAUUAUUUUACAUGAGAAAUCAAAAUCAAAUGUGACUGCUGUUGCUCUGUCAGGAACCAGGGUACAUAGCUACCGUAAAUAGAUUUUUGUAAAUUAUUAUGUCUCAUGCUGAAUCCUAAGUCAUUCAGUUGCAUUCCACAUUUUGUAACAACUGCUUUGUCUUGGGUAGUAAAUCUAAACGACAAUCAUAUCUGUACACAAGACAAGAGUCAAAAUGACGUUUACAUGAUCGUUACUGCUUCCAUGAACCACUCAAACAUUUUGCCUAUAGGAGGACUGCCACUCCUACAUACCUUUUAGGACCAACUCCUAUAGGACUGGUACUCCUGCAUACUUUGUGGGACUGUCACUCCUACUUUUCUUAUAGGAAUACUGCCACUCCUAUGUAGCUACCUUUCUCAGAGGACUGUCACUCUCGCUUAGCUACCUAGUAGGACUGCCAAUCUCCUACCUAUCUAGUAGGAGGACUGUCAGUCCUUAGGCUUGUUUGACAAAUUUCAACCUGCAAUAGACAACUUGGCCUCUGAUCAUGUUGAAUACCUGAUAUCUUCUCCUGAAAACUGAAUAGAUUUUUAAAUGUUUCAUGUAAUCUUUCAACCAUUUUACACUCAAUCCAUGCACAGAUCUUGGGUGUAUUAUAAAAAAGACAACUAGUUUAAAAUUAGCGUUUAUGUCCAGUGUGUCAUAAUCUUGACUUGAACAUCUUAAAAACACUCUCUUGUUUGAAUCAGAAAGUGUCACAUUCCAGGAUUAAACUCAAACUAAUAAUAAACGACAAUUACUACACCUUGGUUUUGGUUUUGUACAGAGUAAAUAUAACAUAUUCAACGGUAAUUUGUUCAAUUUGACAAAUGGUGCUUUUUUUCAUUCAUCUUUUUUUUUGUCUAUUUAUUUUUAAAAAACCCCUGUUAAAACAAACACAACAACACAAAAACAAGCCCAUACCAUGUGUAAAGAAGUUUGUCUCCUCAAUAUGGAUCUCAGAAUUAUUUUGACACAGUUGAAGGUAAGUAGUCUUUGUCCAGUUGAAGCAUAGAACAAUAGUUGUUCUAUUAACGAUGUCAGUAUUUGAAUGUCACAUUGCAUUUCCCUACAACAACAAUAAACCUCCUGCAUGACUUUUUAGUUUACAGAAUGCUGGAAAAUUCAAAAUUGCAAUUUUAUUUAUUUAUUGGAAGAAUAAUACAUGUACGGUAUUACUAAUGUAUCUAACUGCAAUUAAAAAAAAUAUUUUAAUGCAAAAGAAAUUCCAUUUAUUAAAUAUGGAUAUGAAGUGAAAUUAUGAUGAGAUAUGUUACAUUUGUGUAUGAAGCAAAAAUGAUGGUACAGAAAUUGUCACAGACCUUGGCUGUUUUGAUUGUUAAUUUUCAAUUAGGUUUCACUAUUAAAGUAUUUUCAUAUUCUGUGUCACAUUUUGUCAGAAUUUGAUUAAUUUGUUGUAAUUGAUGCCAUUGUGUGUGUCAGUGUUCCUGGUACAAACUAUGUACAAGUAGCUUUGUUAAACAUGAGGAAACUAAGUACAAGAAUUCUCAUUGGGAGAGAAAUGUUUUCGAACAGCCAAUCAGCUAUAGCCAUUAGGGAUACAAUCAUGAAAUGUAUGCACAUAUUUGAUGUUGAUUUUCAGUAUAGAAGUUUUACAAUUAUAAAAUCUGACAUUUCAAGACAGUGUGUAGUAUUCAGUUUGUUUGACAGCAGAUGACAUUGAUGAGAGUUAGAACUGACAAGUAGUACCGGUAAGAUAUAUAUUGUGAUAGAAUGGAGAAUGCUCUGACCAAUCAUAUAUAUUAUUGCUGUGGUUUUAACAUGUUCUUGUCAGAGUAAUACAAGUCUGUUUACUACCACGUCAAGGGAGUCAACUUCUUCCUUUAUGGUUUUCUAUUUUGUUUUGUUUGUGUUUGUUAGUGUUUUGUAUAUAUUUGUUUUUAUUUAUUUUUGUGUGUUUUUGUCUUGACAUGUACCAGUACAUCCAUCCAUCUCUCUGUCUCUCUCUCUCUCUCUCUCUCUCUCUCUCUCUCUCUCUCUCUCUCUCUCUCUCUCUCUCUCUCUCUCUCUCUCUCUCUCUCUCUCUCUGUGUGUGUUAUUUUCUGGUGAGGAUAAUGGCAACACUAACAAAUUUGUCAUCAAGUCUGCAUUUCUCACAAUCUAUAAGUCAUAGUUUCACCUGUACCUUUUUUCUUUCUUUUUUCUUCUUUUUUUAAACAACUAGAUUAAUAAUAAAAUAUACACUACAAAUUUAAAAAACCCAAUAUUUUUGUCUGUACACCAAGCCUAGAUGUUGGCUUGUUUAGCACUGGGAUUGUGUAUAUCCAUUGUUGAUCCCAGUGCACUCAUUUGGGAGUAUUUGUAUCCCACUGACACAUUCCGUAUUGUUGUACAAGUAGUCUGGCUGGUACACAUGUUAUUUAGACUGGUACCUUUGUUAAUAUAUAUUUUUUUAUUUAUCAUAUUUCAUCUAUACCAUUGUUUAUGAUAAAAGCAGUGUCUGUGAUUUUAUGUGCCAUUGUUUGUUUUUAACACAUUUAUAUUAUAUUCAUAAUUUUUGUUGACAUUUAGAAUAUUUUUUAUUUUACCCUGUUUUUUUAUUAUUAAAAAUCUCUUCAUGGUCUUUUCCAGGGACUAAGUUCUGAUGCUUGCCAAAGUUUUCUCUCAAAUAUGUAACAGAAUUUAUAUGUGAAUCAUGUUGGAACACCAUCAUGAUGUCAUUGUCAUGUUGAUUGCAGUUACUAGUUAUGUCAUUGUGUUGAUUGCUUUCACCAGUGAUGUCAUUGUGUUGAUUGCAGUCACCAGUGACAUCAUUGUCGUGUUGAUUGCAGUUACCAGUGACAUCAUUGUGUUGAUUGCUUUCACCAGUGAUGUCAUUGUGUUGAUUGCAGUCACCAGUGACGUCAUUGUUGUUGAUUGCAUUUACCAGUGAGGUAAUUGUUGUGUUGAUUGCAGUUACCAGUGAUCUUAUUGUUGUGUUAAUUGCAGUUAGCAGUGAGAUCAUUGUUAUGUUGAUUGCAAUUACCAACCAUGGUGCAUGUGAAUCAUGUUGAAACACAAACAUGACGUCAUUGUCAUGUUGAUUGCUGUUACCAGCCAUGUGUUGUUUUCCUGCACUUGUAGUUUCUGAUCUGUUAUUUUCAAUUAACUCGAAACCAAAGCCAGGAUUUUAAAAGAUAAGAGCGUGUGUCCAUAAUUGUUUUUUUUUCUUUUCCAGAAUUCUCUCUCUCUCUCUCUCUCUCUCUCUCUCUCUCUCUCUCUCUCUCUCUCUCUCUCUCUUUUACUGUUGUUUGACAAAGUGUAUCUAAUGAGAUUGGGGUUUUUUCUGAUAUUUUGAAAGUAUACAUAAACACCCUCAAACAUGAUUCAUCUUUGAACCAGCAGCACAGACCUAGAAAUAUUCUUGGAGUAUUGAUUUGGGGGAGGGGUAUUCAUAAUGUUUAGAGAUGAGGACCCCUUACUACCCAUCUAGAGAGUGGUUCGUUUUUAACACUGUGCACUGUUGUGUUCACAGUGUAGUACCUAUCAAUGCUUGGGUCUGUAAUGUUUUGUUUUAAUAUAUUUGUGAGUGUUGGAAGCCACUACUGUGAGGUUUGUUUGGGGAGAGGUUUACUCAGGUGUGAAAUAAAAUUACGUGAUACCA
rnacentral:misc_RNA from 1 species